AUGCAAUAGUGUGGACACUUCCUUAAUAACUCUUUAUAUCUUUCUCAAGCUUCAUAUAAAGAUUCUCCUUCUUGCUGCACAAAUGAUGUAAUAUCUCCUCUUAAUUU